AGGACGAACGCUGGCGGCGUGCUUAACACAUGCAAGUCGAGCGGUAAGGCCCUUUCGGGGGUACACGAGCGGCGAACGGGUGAGUAACACGUGAGCAAUCUGCCCUUCACUUCGGGAUAAGCCUACGGAAACGGGGUCUAAUACCGGAUAUCGACCGCGCUACGCAUGUGGUGUGGUGGAAAGUUCUGGCGGUGGAGGAUGAGCUCGCGGCCUAUCAGCUUGUUGGUGGGGUAAUGGGCCUACCAAGGGCUUCGGACGGGUAGCCGGCCUGGAGACGGGUUGACCGGGCACGACUGGGACUGAGACACGGCCCAGCCUCCUACGGGAGCAGCAGUGGGAAU
rnacentral:rRNA from 1 species